rnacentral:tRNA from 1 species
GGACGGGUGGCGGAGCGGCCAAUCGCAGCAGACUGUAAAUCUGCCGGACUGGGUCCUACGUAGGUUCGAAUCCUACCCCGUCCA